AUUGACGGGGACCCGCACAAGCGGUGGAUGAUGUGGAUUAAUUCGAUGCAACGCGAAAAACCUUACCUACCCUUGACAUGUCCGGAAUCCUGCAGAGAUGCGGGAGUGCCCGAAAGGGAAUCGGAACACAGGUGCUGCAUGGCUGUCGUCAGCUCGUGUCGUGAGAUGUUGGGUUAAGUCCCGCAACGAGCGCAACCCUUAUCAUUAGUUGCUACGCAAGGGCACUCUAAUGAGACUGCCGGUGACAAACCGGAGGAAGGUGGGGAUGACGUCAAGUCCUCAUGGCCCUUAUGGGUAGGGCUUCACACGUCAUACAAUGGUCGGUACAGAGGGUUGCCAAGCCGCGAGGUGGAGCCAAUCCCAGAAAGCCGAUCGUAGUCCGGAUUGUUCUCUGCAACUCGAGAGCAUGAAGUCGGAAUCGCUAGUAAUCGCGGAUCAGCAUGUCGCGGUGAAUACGUUCCCGGGUCUUGUACACACCGCCCGUCACACCAUGGGAGUGGAAUCUGGCAGAAGUAGGUAGCCUAACCGCAAGGAGGGCGCUUACCACGCUGGGUUUCAUGACUGGGGUGAAGUCGUAACAAGGUAGCCGUAGGGGAACCUGCGGCUGGAUCACCUCCUU
rnacentral:rRNA from 1 species